AGAGUUUGAUCCUGGCUCAGGAUGAACGCUAGCGGCGUGCUUUAUGCAUGCAAGUCGAACGGUUUUUAAGUCUUCGGACUUAAAAAUAGUGGCAAACGGGUGAGUAACACGUAGGUAACCUGCCCCUAAGUCUGGGAUAACUCCGGGAAACCGGGGCUAAUACCGGAUGUGAUAACCAGGUAAUGCCUGGUUAGUAAAGCCUUCGGGCGCUUGGGGAGGGGCCUGUGUCCGAUUAGCUAGUUGGUGGGGUAAUGGCUCACCAAGGCGAUGAUCGGUAGCUGGUCUGAGAGGACGGUCAGCCACACUGGGACUGAGACACGGCCCAGACUCCUACGGGAGGCAGCAGCAAGGAAUUUUGGGCAAUGGGCGAAAGCCUGACCCAGCAACGCCGCGUGGGGGAUGAAAGCCCUCGGGUUGUAAACCCCUUUUUCCCAGGGAAGAAUAAUGACGGUACCUGGGGAAUAAGCCCCGGCUAACUACGUGCCAGCAGCCGCGGUAAUACGUAGGGGGCAAGCGUUAUCCGGAUUUACUGGGCGUAAAGAGGACGUAGGCGGCUUUUCAAGUCGGAUGUGAAAUUUCCCGGCUCAACCGGGACGAGUCAUUCGAUACUGUUGGGCUAGAGGAUAGCAGGGGGAGACGGAAUUCCCGGUGUAGUGGUGGAAUACGUAGAUACCGGGAGGAACACCAGAGGCGAAGGCGGUCUCCAAGGCUAUUUCUGACGCUGAGGUCCGAAAGCGUGGGUAGCAAACAGACUUAGAUACUCUGGUAGUCCACGCUGUAAACGAUGGACACUAGGUAUAGGGAGCAUCGACCCUCUUUGUGCCGAAGCUAACGCCUUAAGUGUCCCGCCUGGGGACUACGGCCGCAAGGCUAAAACUCAAAGGAAUUGACGGGGGCCCGCACAAGCAGCGGAGCGUGUGGUUUAAUUCGAUGCAACGCGAAGAACCUUACCAAGGCUUGACAUGCCGGAAGUAGUGAACCGAAAGGUGAACGACCCGUUAAGUCGGGAGCCGUCACAGGUGCUGCAUGGCUGUCGUCAGCUCGUGCCGUGAGGUGUAUGGUUAAGUCCUGCAACGAGCGCAACCCUCGUCGUUAGUUGAAUUCUCUAGCGAGACCGCCCUGCAAAACGGGGAGGAAGGUGGGGAUGACGUCAAGUCAGCAUGGCCCUUAUGCCUUGGGCUACACACACGCUACAAUGGGUGGUACAGCAGGUAGCAAUGGAGCAAUCCGGAGCUAAUCCUUAAAACCAUCCUCAGUUCGGAUUGUAGGCUGAAACUCGCCUGCAUGAAGUUGGAGUUGCUAGUAAACGCGUAUCAGCACGGCGCGUUGAAUACGUUCUCGGGCCUUGUACACACCGCCCGUCACGUCAUGAAAGUUGGCAACACCUGAAGUCGAUGGGCUAACCCGAUUUAUCGGGAGGCAGUCGCCGAAGGUGGGGCUGAUGAUUGGGACGAAGUCGUAACAAGGUA
rnacentral:rRNA from 1 species